rnacentral:lncRNA from 1 species
GGCAGUAAAGACAAACUGAGUCAGCAGUUAGGAGUGGACUCCCUUAAACAACAGAGUUAGAGUGGGGAAGUGGUCAUAACAUCGCUGUAAUCACAAACUUGUUUUUCCUAACACUGCAAUCUACAGAAGUUUCAGGAUUUCCUCUAAUAAACAUAAGGCUACUAGACGCAACAAUAGAAUUACCAUAUUGUUUUUCCUGGUUUGAAAGGACCAGAUGGAAAGAAACUGGGCAAGCCAAUGAAAGUCUCUGGGGAUCAUGGGAAUUGAGUGUCUAUGAAAACCAUAUUCCAGACAAGAAUAUAGUCUAAGGACACAGCAAGAGGCAACAUUUUGGAAGCAGAGGGCAACUCUCACUGGAAACCAAAUCUCCUGGCACCUUGAUCUUGGAUUUUACAGCCUCCAGAACUGAUAGCUGGGAGGCAUUACAUAGUCAUGUGCGAGGUCAAAACUGAGUCACCACCACAACCAAGUUCCAGCUGGCAAGAAGAGGAAAAAUAACACAGAGGAGUUAUGACCAGUGUUGUAAGGAUCUGGCCUAGAAAUGGCAUGCAUCUCUUCCACUAAUAUCCUAUUGGUAAAAAUGUAGUCACAUGGGCACACCACCUAUCUGCAUGGAAGGCUGGGAAAUGUUGAUCGGUAGGGCAGCCAUAUGUGUAGGAAGGAGAAAACAGAAUUUGGUGGAUACCUAGUAGUCUCUGCCAUACCCUUGACCAGAAAUUUUUCUUCUAAAGAAUUUAAUUCUAAAAGUUAUAGACAUUCCCAAAGAUAUACCUGCAAGCAUCACAGCUUUGUGUAUAAUUGCAAAAGUUGAAAUCAACAUGAAUGCCCAAAAUAGUGAAUUAUUUAAACAGAUUAUUACCCAUAUUAUGAAGAAAUACUCUGCAACUCUUAAAAAUAAAUGUAAUGUGCCAGGCGCAAUGGGAUAUGCCUGCAGGCCCAGCUACACGGGAGGCCAAGGCAGGAGGAUCACUUGAAAUCAAGAGUUCAAGUCUAGCCUAGACAACAUAGUGAGACUUGGUCUCUAAAAAAGAAAAAAAAAAAUAAAACUGAUGUAAUGAAUAUAUAAUUACAACAAAAGAGGUCUAACACUAUAGUAGAAAAGUUUGGGGCACUCAUCCCAUUCAUAAUUAUUUUACAUUUAAAUUACUGUUCCUACUUAAGUGGUGAGCUUGGUAACCAUUUUCAUAUCAGGUGAUACUGCUGCAGUAAUCAUAGCUGUUUGAAUCAGGAAUAAUCCCAAUCACAUUUUCUCUUAAUCGUUUAUUAUACUGGGCAUUGGGGUUGCAAGAUAAUGCACAGUCCGAGCUCAAUACAUGUCUUCAUGUACCUGUAUGUAAAUCCCACUUUUAUUCUAAAAUUCUUUGAAUAUUUUGUUUCUUGGAACCCAAUGAUCCUAAGAAAAUUAUGUACUUUUACCUGAAAAUUAAAACCAAUAUUUAUAAAAAGUGUAUAUGCAGUAUGAUACCACUUUUAAAAAAAGAUAAAUUUAUAGAAAAAAGUUUAUAUGACUGACAACAAUGUCUCUGAGUGGUAGGAUUACAGUUAAUUUUUAUUUUCUUCAUUCUACUUAUCUUUAUUUUCUGAACUUUCUACAAUGAACAUGUUUUAUUUUUACUUUUGUUAAAAUAAAUAACAUUUAAUUUGACGGAAAAUUCUAAAAAUCAACAUUUGGUAACUUAAAUAUUCAUUGGCACAUGAUUCUGUGCCUGUUUCUGGGGGUCAUUCCCAUGAGAAGAGCAGGUAGAACUUAUGAGAAUAGAGCAGUCGAAAUAUUAUAGGUUUCAUAUUUUACGGCUUUAUUGAAAACAUUGAUAUAUUGAAUAUUCAUAAAUUUUAAUUUAACUUUCUUUUAUAAUCCUUAAUGUGAGGCUAAGGUAUAAGGAGAAAGGAGAUUGGUAAGGAAGUGUGAUACAUAUUGAAUCAGGUGUCAAGGUACCAUUUGUGCCUGGAUCUGACCAAUAGACCAAGGUAAAAAUCUCAAAGAAUGAGACUUGUAAUGAGAAUGCCACAAACUUGAAUACCUUAUGCACAAAACACAAACAUUGUUAUGCAUAAUGUACAUGAACCCUGAAACAAAGAUAAUGAUUUGGACCACCCAACUGAAGUGGCAUGUUAUGUUUUUGGCAUGAACAAAAGAAACAAGAGAGAAAAAAAUCAAAAUAAUUAAAAUAAAUUGUUAGAGAAAAGUUACUUUAAAAAUAGCUAUAACGCUUUGCAAUUUCAGUAACAGUUCUGCCUCUGAUGCAAUGUAAAACAUGUAUUAGACAUUCAGGCUCCACAAUAAAUUUUAAUGAGCACUACAAAUUUAGAAUAUAUAAAAAUAUCAGUAACCUAUGAAUUCAUCAACAUAACUCACUUUUCAGUUAAGUUAGGCUGAGUUGAAAUUCUACUAAGUUUUCCCAUAUUCUUGAUAAAGGCUAAAUUUGAAAUAAUUUAUUUAGAUGACUAAUUGGCAAUUUGAUAGUAGUUACAUUUUAUGUAACACUUGAUAUAAUAACCCAAAUUAAUUAGCUCAAUAUUAUCUUCUGUGGUUUAUUGAUCCAAAAGUACAUAUUUGUUAUGUAAACUUAUACUAUGUAAACUUGAAUUAGUUUUUUGCUUCCUUGAAUUAAUAAAGCCCAUUAAUGCAAAUCUAAGCCUUCAUAGACUUUUCCAAUCCUUAGUUAAAUAUUAAAAACUGAGUAUUGUAGUUAUUUGCUAGGUAUAAAAGGUGACUCAGAGUAGAGAGUAAGAUGUCAGCAAAUAGACAAUAAGAUGUCAGCAAAAGUGCCUCAAAUUUUAACUGCGUCAAGUUAAGGGCAUUGUAAAUACUGUAGUUUUAUGUAGCUUGCAACUUCUACUGAAAUGAGUUUAAUCAUGUCUUUCACAUAGCUGAAGUUUGUGUCAAGAUUUAAGCUGAUUUUCUCAUUCUUAUCAAAGUCUCACCUGGGGGUAGGGAGGGGUAGGCCUACCUCCCACCUCUAUACUAUCAUUUUAGGAACAGACAGGCAUAAAUCUGUUCAUAUGGUAGAACACAUGAUGUUAGAGUAUAUUUUGUUGAAUGCUAUGGAAUAUUAAUAUAAUUAAUUCUAAAAUAUCACCUAAAAUAUGUCAACUGAAGAUCUGACUGUACUAAAUAUGAAAAAUAAAGCAGCACAUACUUUC